rnacentral:rRNA from 1 species
AAUUUUGGACAAUGGGGGCAACCCUGAUCCAGCCAUCCCGCGUGUGCGAUGAAGGCCNNNGGGUUNUAAAGCACUUUUGGCAGNGAANAAAAGGCGCCGGAUAAUACCUGGCGCUGCUGACGGUACCUGCAGAAUAAGCACCGGCUAACUACGUGCCAGCAGCCGCGGUAAUACGUAGGGUGCAAGCGUUAAUCGGAAUUACUGGGCGUAAAGCGUGCGCAGGCGGUUCGGAAAGAGAGAUGUGAAAUCCCAGGGCUUAACCUCGGAACUGCAUUUUUAACUGCCGGGCUAGAGUAUGUCAGAGGGGGGUAGAAUUCCACGUGUAGCAGUGAAAUGCGUAGAGAUGUGGAGGAAUACCGAUGGCGAAGGCAGCCCCCUGGGAUAAUACUGACGCUCAUGCACGAAAGCGUGGGGAGCAAACA